GUCGGUCUCGGGGUGGGGGCAGUGGAAGCCAGAAGGGUGGGAGGUGGCACUGGUCCCAGAACACAGCUCCCACCCUGACCCCUGUCCUGCUGGCCCUUUGCUGCCCCUAAACCUCUGUGCUUCCGGUUCUCUGUUGCUCCUUCAGUGCACACAUCUCUCCAGGAAGUGACUGGAACUUUUGGAAGUGCGUGGGGAGCAUAGAUAAUAAACAGCUCCGAGUCACUGGCGUCCAGGGCACCGCGGGAUGUGGCGGCUGUGGCCACAGCUCUUGGAUGUGCCCAGGGGGUCCUGACCCAGGAGAGAGUUGGGUUCAAGUAUUUGUUCUGCCACUGACAGCUGUGUGACCUUGGUGUAUGACCUUGGCUCUCUGGGGUUUGGUCUGCAAAAUGAUAAUACCCCUGCUUUGCCAGGACUGUCAAUGGGGGCUGAAGCCGCACAUGGAAGGCUGUCACUGCGAUCUCAAAAAGGCGAGUCCCCCAUCACUCUUAACCCAGUGACUCCGAGAGACAGAAAGGAGGGUCUUACUCUGCAGUUCAGGCUGGCCUUGAGCUCACUUUGUGCCCAUGUUGGUCUCAAACUUGCAGCAAUCCUCCUGCCUCGGCCUCCCAAGUGCUGGCAUUACAGUGUUGUGGAUCAAACCUGGAGUUUUGCACAUGGAAUGUGAGUGUUCUACCACUGAGCUGUAUCCGUGGUUCCUGCCAUUUUAUUUUAAACAAUCUAGGGUGGAGGCAUCAAGCAGAGAGUUUAUCUAGGGUACAGUUUAAAAUAAGUAUUUAGAUAUACAAGUAAAAAAUAUAUAUAUGCUUUUUGCUAAUGCUUAAUGAUUAGUAAUUAUAAUUCUUUUAGCAGUAGUAAAGUUUUAGUAAAGGUAGGAAAAGAAACAGACUCUGCAGAGCGAGUCUGAGUCAAGCAAAAGUAGGAGAAUGAGUACAGCCCACAGUGUGGGCAUCUCACUAUGUAUUUGAACAUAUCAGCCUUUGAAUUCACUCUGUAACACCUCAAAUAUACAGUGAUCCUCCUGCCUCAGCUUCCCACGUGCUGGGAUUACAGAUGUGCAUCACCACGCCUGGCUCUUUUUUAUUUGUAUUUUUGAGAGAAUGUCACUAUGCUACCCAAAGUGGCCUUGAACUCCUGGGCUCAAGUAAUCCUCCUGCCUCAGCUUUCCAGGUAACUAGGACUACAGGCAAGCAAAAUUAAAUCUAUAAUACCAUCAUGUUUAGCAAAAUUAAAGGUAUAAUAACAAAUUUGAGGACUUUUUUUGGAGAUAGGAUCUUACCAUGUAAUGCAGGCUAGCCUUGAACUAGAGCCCAGGCUGGUCUUAAACUUGUGGGACUCAUCCUGUCUCAGUCUCCUUGAGUGUAGGAAUUACAGGCUUGCACCACUAUGAUCAGUUACAAUACCAAAUUUUUCACACUGGACAAAUACACCUUUUUGUAAUGAUCUAGAACUCUACCCUCAAGUUAUGAUCCACUUAGCCCUAAGAAGUCCUUUCAAAAGCAGAUUUCAAGCAGCAGCUGCCAUGAGGACCAGGAGGAGAACCAAGAAGCCAAUCCAAGCCUUCCUGUGAGCCAGCCAGCACUCCAGCUGGGAAACAAAAAGAGCACUGCUGCCCCACCCCACAAGCCCCUCCUGUAAGGGACCAUCUGACUUGGAGGAACACUGGCUGAGAUGACGAGAACUGAAGUAAAACAAACAGCCUAAUGCUUGAAUUGACUGACUGACUUUGCAAGCCUAGAUCUGGUAGUUCGAGCAUCUAUUCAGAGGAUAACAAUAUGCAAUAUAGCAAGUAUGGGGGAUUUCUUUCUGUCUUUUUUUUGAAACCCAAUAUUGUUCUCACUGUUUUGUUUUGUUUUAUUCCCUUUAAAAUAAAAAAAUAAAUUUUAAAAAGGCA